rnacentral:rRNA from 1 species
AUUGAACGCUGGCGGCAGGCCUAACACAUGCAAGUCGAGCGGCAGAACGGUGCUUGCUCGUGGUUUCAGCGGGGGACGGGCGAGUGAUUCCUGGGAAUCUCCCUAGCUGCGGUUUCGAACGUCCUGAAGCAGGCGCUAAUACCCCAUACGCGCAGACGGCGAACGGGGGGGAGCAUCGGACCUUCCGCCCUCAGAGGAGUGUAGGAGGGGUUAGCUAGUUGGUGGGGUAAGGGGCUACCAAGGCGACGAUCCGUAGCUGGUCUGAGAGGAUGAUCAGCCACACUGGAACUGAGACACGGUCCAGACUCCUACGGGAGGCAGCAGUGGGGAAUAUUGGACAAUGGGCGAAAGCCUGAUCCAGCCAUGCCGCGUGUGUGAAGAAGGCCUUCGGAUUGUAAAGCCCUUUUGUUGGGGAAGAAGAGCAGUAGGUUAAUACCUUGCUGUUUUGACGGUACCAAAAGAAUAAGCACCGGCUAACUUCGUG